GGAACUUCUUUUCCAAAAAUAAUGCCUUAAGACUCAUGAACAUCUCAUGUCCCUCAGAAAGAUAGAAGAAAUAUACCUACUACAAUAUUUAUUAGAUCAAGAUCCAAGCUAGUCUAUUUGUAAAUAUUUCACAUAAGUUCGACACUCUAAAUACUAUGGUAAGACAAUAUCGAAUUAUCCAAGUCCAUAUCUCAUUUGGAGUUUUGAUAAUCGAUUUGCUCAGAACAUUCUCGAGUAUGUAUUAAGUAGUCUCUAAAAUAUAAUCUUAGACAGACCAGCAAACCCCAUAGU
rnacentral:lncRNA from 1 species